AGUGAACGCUGGCGGUAGGCCUAACACAUGCAAGUCGAGCGGCAGCACAGUAAGAGCUUGCUCUUACGGGUGGCGAGUGGCGGACGGGUGAGGAAUACAUCGGAAUCUACUUUUUCGUGGGGGAUAACGUAGGGAAACUUACGCCAAUACCGCAUACGACCUACGGGUGAAAGCAGGGGAUCUUCGGACCUUGCGCGAUUGAAUGAGCCGAUGUCGGAUUAGCUAGUUGGCGGGGUAAAGGCCCACCAAGGCGACGAUCCGUAGCUGGUCUGAGAGGAUGAUCAGCCACACUGGAACUGAGACACGGUCCAGACUCCUACGGGAGGCAGCAGUGGGGAAUAUUGGACAAUGGGCGCAAGCCUGAUCCAGCCAUACCGCGUGGGUGAAGAAGGCCUUCGGGUUGUAAAGCCCUUUUGUUGGGAAAGAAAAGCAGCAGGUUAAUACCCCGCUGUUCUGACGGUACCCAAAGAAUAAGCACCGGCUAACUUCGUG
rnacentral:rRNA from 1 species